AGAAUCAACGCUGGCGGCGUGCCUAACACAUGCAAGUCGAACGAGAAAGUGGAGCAAUCCAUGAGUAAAGUGGCGACCGGGUGAGUAACACGUGACUAACCUACCUUCGAGUGGGGGAUAACCUCGGGAAACCGAGGCUAAUACCGCAUAACAUCGCAAGAUCAAAGCAGCAAUGCGCUUGAAGAGGGGGUCGCGGCUGAUUAGCUAGUUGGCGGGGUAACGGCCCACCAAGGCGAAGAUCGGUAUCCGGCCUGAGAGGGCGCACGGACACACUGGAACUGAAACACGGUCCAGACUCCUACGGGAGGCAGCAGUGGGGAAUUUUGCGCAAUGGGGGAAACCCUGACGCAGCAACGCCGCGUGGAGGAUGAAGCCCCUUGGGGCGUAAACUCCUUUCGACCAAGACGAUAAUGACGGUACUGGUGGAAGAAGCACCGGCUAACUCUGCGCCAGCAGCCGC
rnacentral:rRNA from 1 species